CUACGUGCCAGCAGCCGCGGUAAUACGUAGGGUGCGAGCGUUAAUCGGAAUUACUGGGCGUAAAGCGAGCGCAGACGGUUACUUAAGCAGGAUGUGAAAUCCCCGGGCUCAACCUGGGAACUGCGUUCUGAACUGGGUGACUAGAGUGUGUCAGAGGGAGGUAGAAUUCCACGUGUAGCAGUGAAAUGCGUAGAGAUGUGGAGGAAUACCGAUGGCGAAGGCAGCCUCCUGGGAUAACACUGACGUUCAUGCUCGAAAGCGUGGGUAGCAAACAGGAUUAGAUACCCUGGUAGUCCACGCCCUAAACGAUGUCAAUUAGCUGUUGGGCAACUUGAUUGCUUAGUAGCGUAGCUAACGCGUGAAAUUGACCGCCUGGGGAGUACGGUCGCAAGAUUAAAACUCAAAUGAAUUGACGGGGGCCCGCACAAGCGGUGGAGCAUGUGGUUUAAUUCGAUGCAACGCGAAGAACCUUACCUACUCUUGACAUCCAGA
rnacentral:rRNA from 1 species